UAGGAUGGAGUGUGAGGGGUAGCACGGAGAAGUUUGGAUUCUCAGGAGCAGGUCCGAUGCCUGUAAUCCUAG
ensembl:Mt_tRNA